GGGGAAUAUUGCGCAAUGGGGGAAACCCUGACGCAGCGACGCCGUGUGAGGGAAGAAGGCUCUCGGGUCGUAAACCUCUGUCGGGAAGGAAGAACCUCUCAGGGCUGAACAAGCCCUGGGACUGACGGUACUUCCAAAGGAAGCACCGGCUAACUCCGUGCCAGCAGCCGCGGUAAUACGGAGGGUGCAAGCGUUAAUCGGAAUCACUGGGCGUAAAGCGCGCGUAGGCCGUCUUUUAAGUCGGACGUGAAAGCCCUCGGCUCAACCGGGGAACUGCGUUCGAUACUGGGAGACUUGAGUCCUGGAGAGGGUGGCGGAAUUCCGGGUGUAGGAGUGAAAUCCGUAGAUAUCCGGAGGAACACCGGUGGAGAAGGCGGCCACCUGGACAGGUACUGACGCUGAGGCGCGAAAGCGUGGGGAGCAAACA
rnacentral:rRNA from 1 species